GACGAACGCUGGCGGCGUGCUUAACACAUGCAAGUCGAACGGAAAUGCCCUGCUUGCAGGGUACUCGAGUGGCGAACGGGUGAGUAACACGUGGGUGAUCUGCCCUGCACUUCGGGAUAAGCCUGGGAAACUGGGUCUAAUACCGGAUAGGAGCCAUUUUUAGUGUGAUGGUUGGAAAGUUUUUUCGGUGUAGGAUGAGCUCGCGGCCUAUCAGCUUGUUGGUGGGGUAAUGGCCUACCAAGGCGGCGACGGGUAGCCGGCCUGAGAGGGUGGACGGCCACAUUGGGCUGAGAUACGGCCCAGACACCUACGGGAGGAAGCAGUGGGGAAUAUUGAACAAUGGGCGCAAGCCUGAUGCAGAGAGGCCGCGUGGGGGAUGACGGCCUUCGGGUUGUAAACUCCUUUCGCUAGGGACGAAGCUUUUUGUGACGGUACCUAGAUAAGAAGCACCGGCUAACUACGUG
rnacentral:rRNA from 1 species